UAACUUACCUGAACGGGGUCAAUGGAUGAUCAUUAAGGUACAUGGCCUAGGGAAGUGACCUUCAUUGCACUUAGAAUGGGUGUGUGAUGGAGCUUACGUCAUAAUUUGUGGCAAUGGGGGCUUGCGUUCGCGCAACCCCUUU
rnacentral:snRNA from 1 species